GAACGUGCGAAACGUAAUGUGAAUUGCAGAAUUCAGUGAAUCAUCGAAUCUUUGAACGCAUCUUGCGCUCCUUGGUAUUCCGAGGAGCAUGCCUGUUUGAGUGUCGUGAACUACUCUCAACUUCAAUCUUUUUGUUUGAAGUUGGAUUUGGGCGUUGUUGUGGUGGUGUCCACUCAUGACUUGUCCUAAAUGCAUUAGCGGUCUGACUUGAUCACACACAAUGUGAUAAGAAAAAAGCAUUGUUACCAUCAAGUGCAGGACUGCUUCUAACUGUCGCAAGACAAACUUCAUGUCAUUUGACCUCAAAUCAGGUAGGACUACCCGCUGAACUUAA
rnacentral:misc_RNA from 1 species